CCUUUGUUAGUCUUGUAUAUGUUAUAAUUUUGGUUCAUUUAUAUAUUUUAGGGUUAAAAGAAGCAUCAAUUUCCCUGAACUAGUGUUCAAAAUCCAUUGGUGGCCUUGUUGUUUUCUGCUCUUUGUAAGUUGACUCUUUGGCACAUUCCCCAUUUCCAUUCUCAAUUCUAUACAUAAUGUACUAUCUACUCAGCCACUUUGAUUG
rnacentral:lncRNA from 1 species